GAUGAACGCUGGCGGCGUGCCUAAUACAUGCAAGUCGAGCGAACGGACGAGAAGCUUGCUUCUCUGAUGUUAGCGGCGGACGGGUGAGUAACACGUGGAUAACCUACCUAUAAGACUGGGAUAACUUCGGGAAACCGGAGCUAAUACCGGAUAAUAUUUUGAACCGCAUGGUUCAAAAGUGAAAGACGGUCUUGCUGUCACUUAUAGAUGGAUCCGCGCUGCAUUAGCUAGUUGGUAAGGUAACGGCUUACCGAGGCAACGAUGCAUAGCCGACCUGAGAGGGUGAUCGGCCACACUGGAACUGAGACACGGUCCAGACUCCUACGGGAGGCAGCAGUAGGGAAUCUUCCGCAAUGGGCGAAAGCCUGACGGAGCAACGCCGCGUGAGUGAUGAAGGUCUUCGGAUCGUAAAACUCUGUUAUUAGGGAAGAACAUAUGUGUAAGUAACUGUGCACAUCAUGACGGUACCUAAUCAGAAAGCCACGGCUAACUACGUG
rnacentral:rRNA from 1 species